CCAGAGAACUUAGCAGAGAUGCUUUGGUGCCUUCGGGAACUCUGAGACAGGUGCUGCAUGGCUGUCGUCAGCUCGUGUUGUGAAAUGUUGGGUUAAGUCCCGCAACGAGCGCAACCCUUAUCCUUUGUUGCCAGCGGCUCGGCCGGGAACUCAAAGGAGACUGCCGGUGAUAAACCGGAGGAAGGUGGGGAUGACGUCAAGUCAUCAUGGCCCUUACGGCCAGGGCUACACACGUGCUACAAUGGCGCAUACAAAGAGAAGCGACCUCGCGAGAGCAAGCGGACCUCAUAAAGUGCGUCGUAGUCCGGAUCGGAGUCUGCAACUCGACUCCAUGAAGUCGGAAUCGCUAGUAAUCGUAGAUCAGAAUGCUACGGUGAAUACGUUCCCGGGCCUUGUACACACCGCCCGUCACACCAUGGGAGUGGGUUGCAAAAGAAGUAGGUAGCUUAACCUUCGGGAGGGCGCUUACCACUUUGUGAUUCAUGACUGGGGUGAAGUCGUAACAAGGUAGGCGUAGCGAG
rnacentral:rRNA from 1 species